rnacentral:rRNA from 1 species
AUUGAACGCUGGCGGCAUGCCUUACACAUGCAAGUCGAACGAGUGGCGGACGGGUGCGUAAUGUCUGGGAAACUGCCUGGUAGCGGGGGAUAACUACUGGAAACGGUAGCUAAUACCUCAUACCAUCAGAUUUGCCCAGAUGGGAUUCGCUUGUUGGUGGGGUAACGGCUCACCAAGGCAACGAUCCCUAGCUGGUUUGAGAGGAUGACCAGCCACACUGGAACUGAGACACGGCCCAGACUCCUACGGGAGGCAGCAGUGGGGAAUAUUGGACAAUGGGGGAAAGCCUGAUGCAGCCAUGCCGCGUGUAUGAAGAAGGCCUUCGGGUUGUAAAGUAAUUUUAGCGGAGAAGCGUUACCCGCAGAAGAAGCACCGGCUAACUACGUGCCAGCCGCCGCGGUAAUAC